GGGGCUGUAGCGCAGUUGGGAGCGCGUUUGACUGGCAGUCAAAAGGUCGAGGGUUCAACUCCCUCCAGCUCCACCA
rnacentral:tRNA from 1 species